UGUUAAAAAUUUCAUAAAUUUGUACCAUUAAAAACUGAUAUGAUUGACGAAAUAACCAGUAACAUAUGAUGUGUCAUGCAUAUCUCAUACCGACAUAUAAAGAUCAGUUUUUAAUAAUAGAAAUUGAUAAAAUUUUUAACA
rfam:Gossypium arboreum cultivar AKA8401 contig_21942_5, whole genome shotgun sequence.